rnacentral:rRNA from 1 species
GCUCAGGAUGAACGCUAGCUACAGGCUUAACACAUGCAAGUCGAGGGGUAGCAGGGUAGCAAUACCGCUGACGACCGGCGCACGGGUGAGUAACACGUAUCCAACCUUCCCAUAACUCGGAGAUAGCCUUUCGAAAGAAAGAUUAAUACCCGAUAGUACUUUUUCAAGGUAUCUUGAGAAAGUUAAAGAUUUAUUGGUUAUGGAUGGGGAUGCGUUCCAUUAGAUAGUUGGUGAGGUAACGGCUCACCAAGUCUUCGAUGGAUAGGGGUUCUGAGAGGAAGGUCCCCCACAUUGGUACUGAGACACGGACCAAACUCCUACGGGAGGCAGCAGUGAGGAAUAUUGGUCAAUGGGCGAGAGCCUGAACCAGCCA